UUCAUUCUCAUUUUCUUGCUUUCAGCUUCAGCCUUCACUCUUCAGCCGCCAGACAGCCCCGAGCGGCCGAGCCCCCUCCCCAAAACCCAUAGCCGCCACACCUCUCUCUCUCGAGUCUCAUCUCUGAAUCUUUGCGUAUGUGACGGGUCCUCUGCCUCUGGUGUCAUCUGAAGCUCCGCAUCCUCCGAUUAGCCACGCCUCUCUCUCUCUGCACUCUGUCUCCAGUAUCACGGUCAGUUUGGCUCUCAUGGAGUUCCAAGCAGAGAUGGAUUGAGCAAGAGUCGUCUUAUGGAUUUACUCCAUGGUUUUGAAUAUGUACUCACCUAUGAAGACAAAGAUGGUGAUUGGAUGCUAGUUGGUGAUUGAAUAUGUUUUUUUUUUUCUUUUUUCUUUUUUCUUUUUUCUUUUUUUCAAUUUGUAAUUUAAUUUUUUUCUUCAAUUAAUUUUUAGUUGUAUUUUGCUUUUUGGUCACUUAUGUAAUCUUGAUGUUCUCCUUCAUUUUCUUUUUUUGUUUGUAAUUUAAUUGAUUUCUUCAAUUUGAUGUCUCUUGUAAUUCUAAAUUGUAAAUUCUUUAUGAAUCAUAAAGAAUUUUUUUUU